rnacentral:rRNA from 1 species
GGGUUGUGAGGUUAAGCGACUAAGCGUACACGGUGGAUGCCCUGGCAGUCAGAGGCGAUGAAGGACGUGCUAAUCUGCGAUAAGCGUCGGUAAGGUGAUAUGAACCGUUAUAACCGGCGAUUUCCGAAUGGGGAAACCCAGUGUGAUUCGUCACACUAUCAUUAACUGAAUCCAUAGGUUAAUGAGGCGAACCGGGGGAACUGAAACAUCUAAGUACCCCGAGGAAAAGAAAUCAACCGAGAUUCCCCCAGUAGCGGCGAGCGAACGGGGAGCAGCCCAGAGCCUGAAUCAGUGUGUGUGUUAGUGGAAGCGUCUGGAAAGGCGCGCGAUACAGGGUGACAGCCCCGUACACAAAAAUGCACAUACUGUGAGCUCGAUGAGUAGGGCGGGACACGUGGUAUCCUGUCUGAAUAUGGGGGGACCAUCCUCCAAGGCUAAAUACUCCUGACUGACCGAUAGUGAACCAGUACCGUGAGGGAAAGGCGAAAAGAACCCCGGCGAGGGGAGUGAAAAAGAACCUGAAACCGUGUACGUACAAGCAGUGGGAGCCUCUUUAUGGGGUGACUGCGUACCUUUUGUAUAAUGGGUCAGCGACUUAUAUUCUGUAGCAAGGUUAACCGAAUAGGGGAGCCGAAGGGAAACCGAGUCUUAACUGGGCGUUAAGUUGCAGGGUAUAGACCCGAAACCCGGUGAUCUAGCCAUGGGCAGGUUGAAGGUUGGGUAACACUAACUGGAGGACCGAACCGACUAAUGUUGAAAAAUUAGCGGAUGACUUGUGGCUGGGGGUGAAAGGCCAAUCAAACCGGGAGAUAGCUGGUUCUCCCCGAAAGCUAUUUAGGUAGCGCCUCGUGAAUUCAUCUCCGGGGGUAGAGCACUGUUUCGGCAAGGGGGUCAUCCCGACUUACCAACCCGAUGCAAACUGCGAAUACCGGAGAAUGUUAUCACGGGAGACACACGGCGGGUGCUAACGUCCGUCGUGAAGAGGGAAACAACCCAGACCGCCAGCUAAGGUCCCAAAGUCAUGGUUAAGUGGGAAACGAUGUGGGAAGGCCCAGACAGCCAGGAUGUUGGCUUAGAAGCAGCCAUCAUUUAAAGAAAGCGUAAUAGCUCACUGGUCGAGUCGGCCUGCGCGGAAGAUGUAACGGGGCUAAACCAUGCACCGAAGCUGCGGCAGCGACACUAUGUGUUGUUGGGUAGGGGAGCGUUCUGUAAGCCUGUGAAGGUGUACUGUGAGGUAUGCUGGAGGUAUCAGAAGUGCGAAUGCUGACAUAAGUAACGAUAAAGCGGGUGAAAAGCCCGCUCGCCGGAAGACCAAGGGUUCCUGUCCAACGUUAAUCGGGGCAGGGUGAGUCGACCCCUAAGGCGAGGCCGAAAGGCGUAGUCGAUGGGAAACAGGUUAAUAUUCCUGUACUUGGUGUUACUGCGAAGGGGGGACGGAGAAGGCUAUGUUGGCCGGGCGACGGUUGUCCCGGUUUAAGCGUGUAGGCUGGUUUUCCAGGCAAAUCCGGAAAAUCAAGGCUGAGGCGUGAUGACGAGGCACUACGGUGCUGAAGCAACAAAUGCCCUGCUUCCAGGAAAAGCCUCUAAGCAUCAGGUAACAUCAAAUCGUACCCCAAACCGACACAGGUGGUCAGGUAGAGAAUACCAAGGCGCUUGAGAGAACUCGGGUGAAGGAACUAGGCAAAAUGGUGCCGUAACUUCGGGAGAAGGCACGCUGAUAUGUAGGUGAAGUCCCUCGCGGAUGGAGCUGAAAUCAGUCGAAGAUACCAGCUGGCUGCAACUGUUUAUUAAAAACACAGCACUGUGCAAACACGAAAGUGGACGUAUACGGUGUGACGCCUGCCCGGUGCCGGAAGGUUAAUUGAUGGGGUUAGCGGUAACGCGAAGCUCUUGAUCGAAGCCCCGGUAAACGGCGGCCGUAACUAUAACGGUCCUAAGGUAGCGAAAUUCCUUGUCGGGUAAGUUCCGACCUGCACGAAUGGCGUAAUGAUGGCCAGGCUGUCUCCACCCGAGACUCAGUGAAAUUGAACUCGCUGUGAAGAUGCAGUGUACCCGCGGCAAGACGGAAAGACCCCGUGAACCUUUACUAUAGCUUGACACUGAACAUUGAGCCUUGAUGUGUAGGAUAGGUGGGAGGCUUUGAAGUGUGGACGCCAGUCUGCAUGGAGCCGACCUUGAAAUACCACCCUUUAAUGUUUGAUGUUCUAACGUUGGCCCCUGAUCGGGGUUGCGGACAGUGUCUGGUGGGUAGUUUGACUGGGGCGGUCUCCUCCUAAAGAGUAACGGAGGAGCACGAAGGUUGGCUAAUCCUGGUCGGACAUCAGGAGGUUAGUGCAAUGGCAUAAGCCAGCUUGACUGCGAGCGUGACGGCGCGAGCAGGUGCGAAAGCAGGUCAUAGUGAUCCGGUGGUUCUGAAUGGAAGGGCCAUCGCUCAACGGAUAAAAGGUACUCCGGGGAUAACAGGCUGAUACCGCCCAAGAGUUCAUAUCGACGGCGGUGUUUGGCACCUCGAUGUCGGCUCAUCACAUCCUGGGGCUGAAGUAGGUCCCAAGGGUAUGGCUGUUCGCCAUUUAAAGUGGUACGCGAGCUGGGUUUAGAACGUCGUGAGACAGUUCGGUCCCUAUCUGCCGUGGGCGCUGGAGAACUGAGGGGGGCUGCUCCUAGUACGAGAGGACCGGAGUGGACGCAUCACUGGUGUUCGGGUUGUCAUGCCAAUGGCACUGCCCGGUAGCUAAAUGCGGAAGAGAUAAGUGCUGAAAGCAUCUAAGCACGAAACUUGCCCCGAGAUGAGUUCUCCCUGACUCCCUGAGAGUCCUGAAGGAACGUUGAAGACGACGACGUUGAUAGGCCGGGUGUGUAAGCGCAGCGAUGCGUUGAGCUAACCGGUACUAAUGAACCGUGAGGCUUAACCUUACAACGCCGAAGGUGUUU